rnacentral:misc_RNA from 1 species
GACUUAUAAUUAGAAUAGUAUGUCUCAGGUUCAAAUCCCUCUAUAUCUGCUCAUAUGUGAGAAUUAUUCACUACAAUGCUUAUAGUUAUGAAAGUUAUUCGUGAAGCUAACCUAUGAUCCAUUUAGCUUGUUAAUGAACUGAAUGAAACAAAUUUCGCCAAAUGCUUAUUCUAAAAUAAAUCUUGGAUACCCUAAGCAAAACUGAACAUACUUCACAAAUACAUGGUAUGCUAACUUAAAGAGAUUGAGAGAACUCAAAAUUGAAAUUCAUAAGAGAUACCAUACAUA